UACGGAGGGUGCAAGCGGUAAUCGGAAUUACUGGGCGUAAAGCGCACGCAGGCGGUUGGAUAAGUUAGAUGUGGAAGGCCCGGGCUCAACCUGGGAAUUGCAUUUAAAACUGUCCAGCUAGAGUCUUGUAGAGGGGGGUAGAAUUCCAGGUGUAGCGGUGAAAUGCGUAGAGAUCUGGAGGAAUACCGGUGGCGAAGGCGGCCCCCUGGACAAAGACUGACGCUCAGGUGCGAAAGCGUGGGGAGCAAACAGG
rnacentral:rRNA from 1 species